GACGAACGCUGGCGGCGUGCCUAAUACAUGCAAGUAGAACGGACAGGUUAUACCGUAGCUUGCUACACGAUAGACUGUGAGUUGCGAAAGGGGGAGUAACGCGGAGGUAAACUGCCUGGUAGCGGGGGAUAACUAUUGGAAACGAUAGCUAAUACCGCAUAAUAUUAAUUAUUGCAUGAUAAUUAAUUGAGAGGGGCAAUUGCACCACUACCAGAUGGACCUGCGUUGUAUUAGCUAGUAGGUGAGGUAACGGCGCACGUAGGCGAGGAAACGUAGCCGAACGGCUAGGGUGAUCGGCCACCCUGGGAGUGAGACACGGCCCAUUGGCCUACGGGAGGCAGCAGUAGGGAAUCGGCGGCAAUGGACGGAAGUCUUACCGAGCAAGGCCGCGUGAGUGAAGAAGGUUUUCGGAUCGUGAAGCUCUGUUGUCAGAGAAGAACGGGUGUUAGCGUGGAACGUUCACUCUGUGACGGUAUCUGAUCAGAAAGGAACGGCUAACUACGUG
rnacentral:rRNA from 1 species